AGCGCAUCAGACUCACCUUCAGCGCUAGCACAUAUGACUAGUCACAACUGACUGGACCAGGCCAGGGCUGCUCUAUGAUCAGGGAUGUGCCAACUCAGGUUCUUAAGUCCCCUCUAUCCUACCAAUAAAGAAAGACUCUCAACCAGUUUUAAUUAAUUUAUUUAAGUUACUUAAACUAGUAUGUUGUGCUCUAAACCUCAAACGCCCAUUUUUUAUGUUUUAC
rnacentral:lncRNA from 1 species